CCAGCCUUUCUGUUAUGCUGUGACUUGUGUCCUUCUCUGGCUAAUGUGCCCCUAGCAUACUGCCCAGCCAAAUCCGUAUUGUCCAGGAAACCAUGGCACACAUCAUGAAUGACUGUGGUCCCUAAUCAUCAGGACUUAUUACAUAGAGCAGAAGGGACUGUCCCCGUUUAAGGGGAAGAAAUGCCAGAGUUCUUUCAUCAGGCUGGGCUAAUGUUGAGGGUCAGCCCUGGCAGUCUGGGAGCAAGAAGCCUCCCCGAAUCGUCUGGGGGUUAGUGCUCCAGCACAGGGCUCAGACAAGUUCUUUUGUGAAAAAUAUCUGUCCACAAGCUUCUUUUCUGAAGCAAGAGCUCUCCUGUUCCAAGGCUGUUGACUGCUGAGGCCAGAGCCUGUAUCAGAGGUGGAGGAAACUUUAGGCAAAGGGAAGUAAAACAUAGCCUUGUGCUUUUAGAGAUUCAGUUUGAUUUGGAUUUGCUUCAUUGCGAUUCAGUUCAACUCAGUUCCCUUGUGCUCCUGGUACUUCAGUGCUACUUGGG
rnacentral:lncRNA from 1 species